AUUGAACGCUGGCGGCAGGCCUAACACAUGCAAGUCGAGCGGAUGAAGAGAGCUUGCUCUCUGAUUCAGCGGCGGACGGGUGAGUAAUGCCUAGGAAUCUGCCUGGUAGUGGGGGACAACGUUUCGAAAGGAACGCUAAUACCGCAUACGUCCUACGGGAGAAAGCAGGGGACCUUCGGGCCUUGCGCUAUCAGAUGAGCCUAGGUCGGAUUAGCUAGUAGGUGAGGUAAAGGCUCACCUAGGCGACGAUCCGUAACUGGUCUGAGAGGAUGAUCAGUCACACUGGAACUGAGACACGGUCCAGACUCCUACGGGAGGCAGCAGUGGGGAAUAUUGGACAAUGGGCGAAAGCCUGAUCCAGCCAUGCCGCGUGUGUGAAGAAGGUCUUCGGAUUGUAAAGCACUUUAAGUUGGGAGGAAGGGCAGUAAGUUAAUACCUUGCUGUUUUGACGUUACCAACAGAAUAAGCACCGGCUAACUUCGUGCCAGCCGCCGCCGUAA
rnacentral:rRNA from 1 species